rnacentral:lncRNA from 1 species
CCAGAAAUGAGACCCCCAAUCCCACAUAUUUACCCACUCCAAGUAGAACAGUCAACAGCUCCUGUGAGUUGGGUCCAAGUACAUGAGUCACAAUCUCAACAGCGGAAUGCAUCCUCAUGUGAGAGCCCCAAUCCCUUCUGCAAGUUGUGUCCUGUCUCUCCAACAGGUAUAAGACAUCAUCCAGCCACUUGUCCAGGGAGCACAUCCCAAUCCAGUUCCUGACCAGACAGGGAUCUGCCACUCUUUCCAGCUGGGUGACCUGGUAUAUGUUAAAAAGUUCCAGAAGGAAGGACUCACUCCUGCCUGGAAAGGACCUCAUACUGUUAUCCUCACCAUGCCAAAAGCUCUGAAAGUAGACAGCAUUCCUGCUUGGAUUCAUCACCCUCACAUCAAGAAGACCAACAAAGCCCAGCAAGAAACAUGGGUCCCCAAGCCUGGGACAGGCCCCUUAAAACUGUGUCUAAGUCGACUGAAGCCAUUAAAUUAAUUCUUUACCUCUUUUGUUUGUUUCAGCCUGUCAUGCCUUCUGCUCCUUCCUACUCUUUUCUCCUUACUUCUUUCACGACAGGACGUGUGUUUGCAAACACCACCUGGAAG